AACAAUUGUAAAAAGUUAUUUAUAUUUUUAUAUAAAAAGGAAAAAAACCUUACAAAUAUUUUUAGGGAGCUAUUCUUUUCUUGCUGUGACAUCACUGCAGACCAUGUCCCUCUGCUGCUGCCGUACCUCCAUCAGACGAGUGAGAGCUCUGAGAUGGACGCUUGCGAUGUCUGCAGCCGUCUAAGGCAAGAGAGGAUUAAUACACUGUAAAAUCCGUUUCAGAAUAAACAGAGUGGAAAGCGAGCCCUUGUG